rnacentral:ribozyme from 1 species
UGCCCAGCAACUUUUAUCCCUAUCUCCUUGCGGUACUGGCCGGGGUACGAGUAACCUUAGGGAAUAUCGGGUAACCAACCCCCGGUGGGAACUUUGGUCGUAUGCUGACAGGGAAGG